rnacentral:rRNA from 1 species
UACGGGGGAUGCAAGCGUUAUCCGGAAUCAUUGGGCGUAAAGCGCCUGUAGGUUGUUUAAUAAGUCUGUUGUUAAAGACUAGGGCUCAACCCUAGAAAAGCAAUGGAAACUACUAGACUAGAGUAUGGCAGGGGUAGAGGGAAUUUCUAGUGUAGCGGUGAAAUGCGUAGAUAUUAGAAAGAACACCAGUGGCGAAAGCGCUCUACUGGACCAUUACUGACACUCAGAGGCGAAAGCUAGGGUAGCAAAAGGGAUUAGAUACCCCUGUAGUCCUAGCCGUAAACGAUGGAUACUAGGUGUUGUGCAUUAUGUACAGUACCGUAGCUAACGCGUUAAGUAUCCCGCCUGGGGAGUACGCACGCAAGUGUG